rnacentral:rRNA from 1 species
AACGAACGCUGGCGGCAGGCUUAACACAUGCAAGUCGAGCGCCCCGCCAGGGGAGCGGCAGACGGGUGAGUAACGCGUGGGAACGUACCUUUUGGUUCGGAACAACUCCGGGAAACUGGAGCUAAUACCGGAUAAGCCCUAACGGGGAAAGAUUUAUCGCCGAAAGAUCGGCCCGCGUCUGAUUAGCUAGUUGGUGAGGUAACGGCACACCAAGGCGACGAUCAGUAGCUGGUCUGAGAGGAUGAUCAGCCACACUGGGCCUGAGACACAGCCCAGACUCCUACGCGAGGGAGGAGUGGGGAAUAUAGGACAAUGGGGGCAGGCCUGAACCAGCCAUGCCGCGGGAGUGAUGAAGGCCGUAGGGUUGUAAAGCUCUUUUGUCCGGGAAGAUAAUGACGGUACCGGAAGAAUAAGCCCCGGCUAACUUCGUG